CCUACGGGAGACAGCAGUGAGGAAUCUUGGUCAAUGGACGGAAGUCUGAACCAGCCAUGCCGCGUGCAGGAAGACGGCUCUAUGAGUUGUAAACUGCUUUUUUACAAGGGUAAACCUGCAUACGUGUAUUCAGCUGACAUUACUGUACGAAUAAGGAUCGGCUAACUCCGUGCCAGCAGCCGCGGUAAUACGGAGGAUCCAAGCGUUAUCCGGAUUUAUUGGGUUGAACGGGUGCGUAGGCGGAUUGAUAAGUUAGAGGUGAAAUGUCCGGGCUGAACUCGGGAACGGCCUGUAAUACUGUUGAACUAGAGAGUAGAUGCGGUAGGCGGAAUGUAUGGUGUAGCGGUGAAAUGCUUAGAGAUAAGACAGAACACCGAUUGCGAAGGCAGCUUACCAAUCUAUAUCUGACGUUGAGGCACGAAAGCGUGGGGAGCAAACAGGAUUAGAUACCCUGGUAGUC
rnacentral:rRNA from 1 species